rnacentral:rRNA from 1 species
GACAGAGGUGCCAAGCGUUAGGCGGAAUCACUGGGCUUAAAGCGUGUGUAGGCGGAUGCCUAAGUAUCUUGUGAAAUCCCACGGCUCAACCGUGGAACGGCUGGGUAUACUGCCUGUCUUGAGCCAACUAGGGGCGAGCGGAACAGACGGUGGAGCGGUGAAAUGCGUAGAUAUCGUCUGGAACGCCAAAGGUGAAUACAGCUCGCUGGGGUUGUGCUGACGCUGAGACACGAAAGCCAGGGGAGCGAACGGG